CUCCAAAUGACUUCUGCAGCUGUAAGCAGUUCAGAGGAGCUAUGCAUUGGACUCCCAAUCCCAUCUACAGAGGCUCUCCCCUGGCACCUGCGGGGAGAAAAGCUGAAGUACAAAGGGCACUGGCUGAGCCUCUUACACCAGAUCAGAGGCUGCUGGCCACACAGACUCACCAAGCCACAGACUUGUCUUCCACAAGCACGUUCUUACCUUAGCCACGAAGUGACCAAGCCACACGUACUAAAGGUUGAACUCAAAGAUAUGUACAGGGUAUUAAACAAAUACCAAGGGGAACAGUUAACUUCAAUACAAGUUUCGUGAGGCUAGCAUGAGGUGUGUGCAUUUGCCAGGGGCAAAUUUCUAUUCUCAAUUAACCCAUGCAGCAAAUGCUACGCAUCUGCUGAGUCCGUUUAGAAGCAUUUGCGGUGGACGAUGGAGGGGCCCGACUCGUCGUAGUCGGUCAGGUCCCGGCCAGCCAGGUCCAGACGCAGGAUGGCGUGGGGGAGGGCGUAGCCCUCGUAGAUGGG
rnacentral:lncRNA from 1 species